AUUGAACGCUGGCGGCAGGCCUAACACAUGCACGUCGAGCGAGCGGCGGACGGGUGAGUGAUGUCUGUGAAACUGCCUGAUGGAGGGGGAUAACUACUCGCAACGGUAGCUAAUACCGCAUACCAUCAGAUGUGCCCCGAUGGGAUUAGCUAUUAGGUGGGGUAACGGCUCACCUAGGCGACGAUCCCUAGCUGGGAUGAGAGGAUGACCAGCCACACUGGAACUGAGACACGGUCCAGACUCCUACGGGAGGCAGCAGUGGGGAAUAUUGCACAAUGGGCGCAAGCCUGAUGCAGCCAUGCCGCGUGUGUGAAGAAGGCCUUCGGGUUGUAAAGCACUUUCAGCGGGGAGGCGUUACCCGCAGAAGAAGCACCGGCUAACUCCGUGCCAGCCGCCGCGGUAAUUC
rnacentral:rRNA from 1 species